AUUGAACGCUGGCGGCAGGCCUAACACAUGCAAGUCGAACGAGUGGCGGACGGGUGAGUAAUGUCUGGGAAACUGCCUGAUGGAGGGGGAUAACUACUGGAAACGGUAGCUAAUACCGCAUACAAUCAGAUGUGCCCAGAUGGGAUUAGCUGGUUGGUGGGGUAACGGCUCACCAGUGCGACGAUCCCUAGCUGGUCUGAGAGGAUGACCAGCCACCCGGGAACGGAGACCCGGUCCAGACUCCUACGUGAGGCAGCAGGGGGGAAUAUUGCACAAUGGGCGCAAUCCUGAUGCAGCCAUGCCGCGUGUAUGAAGAAGGCCUUCGGGUUGUAAAGUACUUUCAGCGGGUAGGCGUUACCCGCAGAAGAAGCACCGGCUAACUCCGUGCCAGCAGCCGCGGUAAUAC
rnacentral:rRNA from 1 species